rnacentral:lncRNA from 1 species
GGUACAUACUGUUUUAUAUACAGGAUGCAUAAUAAAUUCCUAUGAGAUUAUGCUGCAAUUGAGUAGAAAGUCUAUAAUGCAUAAGUGAUGGAGCUGCAAAGCAGCUAGGAAGGAUUUUCCUUUCAAAAUAAGGUCACAUAUUUAUAUCUCAUAGGGCAACAUGAUGGGUGCUGAGGAGCAAGAGGCACUGAGUUGCACUUGCUGACUCGCACAGAGUUAUCUUGGUGUGCUGAAGCUUUCUUUAUAUUCUAUGCUGCUGAACCCCCAACCAGGGAUUUGUGGUGACUUUCAGAACAGAGAAAACAGAGGAUAGGCCUAAUCUCAGCUAUCAUUAGCUAAACAAGGCAUCUCUUCUCAGGUUAAUUUUUCGAAGAGAUAUCGGUUUGUUAAGACUAAACUUGUCCAUUAAAAAGGGUUAAUUCCAAACGGGGAAGCCUCCCACUUCGAAAACUGAAAUGGAGGAAUAUGCAUAACUGCCAAAACAAGAAAUCUGUAAAGAAUCAUAUCUCUGAAGU